rnacentral:rRNA from 1 species
GACGAACGCUGGCGGCGCGCCUAACACAUGCAAGUCGAACGAGCGAGAGAGAGCUUGCUUUCUCAAGCGAGUGGCGAACGGGUGAGUAACGCGUGAGGAACCUGCCUCAAAGAGGGGGACAACAGUUGGAAACGACUGCUAAUACCGCAUGACGCUUCUUGGGGGCAUCCCUGAGAAGUCAAAGCUUUAUGUGCUGAAAGAUGGAUUCGCGUCUGAUUAGCUAGUUGGUGAGGUAACGGCUCACCAAGGCGACGAUCAGUAGCCGGUCUGAGAGGAUGAACGGCCACAUUGGGACUGAGAUACGGCCCAG